rnacentral:rRNA from 1 species
GGAUGCCCUCCGUCGUCACCCCUUAUAACCUGUUACCCGCGUUCGGACUAGGUCGGUACGGCGCACUCACUACUUCCGGAAUCCCAACAUUUCGAGAAAGCGGCCCCUGCUAUUACUGCCAUG